GACAGCAGCAGCCGCGGUAACACAGAGGGUGCGAGCGUUAAUCGGAUUUACUGGGCGUAAAGCGUGCGUAGGCGGCUUCUUAAGUCGGAUGUGAAAUCCCUGAGCUUAACUUAGGAAUUGCAUUCGAUACUGGGAAGCUAGAGUAUGGGAGAGGAUGGUAGAAUUCCAGGUGUAGCGGUGAAAUGCGUAGAGAUCUGGAGGAAUACCGAUGGCGAAGGCAGCCAUCUGGCCUAAUACUGACGCUGAGGUACGAAAGCAUGGGGAGCAAACAGGAUUAGAUACCCCUGUAGUCCCUGUCUCUUAUAC
rnacentral:rRNA from 1 species